CUAGAGUUUGAUCAUGGCUCAGAACGAACGCUGGCGGCAGGCUUAACACAUGCAAGUCGAACGCGUGUAGCAAUACACGAGUGGCGCACGGGUGAGUAACACGUGGAUUAUCUGCCUCUUGGUUCGGAAUAACCCCGGGAAACUGGGGCUAAUACCGAAUGGUUCCUACGGGAUAAAGAUUUAUCGCCAGAGAUGAGUCCGCGGCCGAUUAGCUAGUUGGUGGGGUAAUGGCCUACCAAGGCGACGGCCCAAUCGCC
rnacentral:rRNA from 1 species